AGUGAACGCUGGCAGUAGGCCUAACACAUGCAAGUCGAACGGCAGCACAGUAAGAGCUUGCUCUUACGGGUGGCGAGUGGCGGACGGGUGAGGAAUACAUCGGAAUCUACUUUUUCGUGGGGGAUAACGUAGGGAAACUUACGCUAAUACCGCAUACGACCUACGGGUGAAAGCAGGGGAUCUUCGGACCUUGCGCGAUUGAAUGAGCCGAUGUCGGAUUAGCUAGUUGGCGGGGUAAGGGCCCACCAAGGCGACGAUCCGUAGCUGGUCUGAGAGGAUGAUCAGCCACACUGGAACUGAGACACGGUCCAGACUCCUACGGGAGGCAGCAGUGGGGAAUAUUGGACAAUGGGCGCAAGCCUGAUCCAGCCAUACCGCGUGGGUGAAGAAGGCCUGCGGGUUGUAAAGCCCUUUUGUUGGGAAAGAAAAGCAGCAGGUUAAUACCCCGCUGUUCUGACGGUACCCAAAGAAUAAGCACCGGCUAACUUCGG
rnacentral:rRNA from 1 species